rnacentral:sRNA from 1 species
UACCGUCACCAAAGCGGUCGAAGCGGACCUCAUCGUCAGUAUCUGCUGGGCGAAAGGGGGCUGGAAUGGAGGAGAGAAGGAAAGACCAGCAAGCGAUGGAACUGAAGGUCUGCAAGCUAACAGACACUGGCCAGCACUAUUACCGUCAAACUUGACAUUGAGCACGAAGUCUUUGUAGAGGCGGCGCCCAUUGACAGGCCUCAUAGCAUCGCAGAGGGCACGGCCCGCAGAGAGUGGGCGGCACAGUCUCGCUGCCGGAAGCUGCAAUGGAACCUCUCCUCCCAGAACUCACGGAACCAAGGGUUUCUGCUGUUGUUCCACGGAUCCAAGCUCUGGAAGUAGGAAGCAAAGUCACUGAUGGGGUAGUCCUUCUUGAGUGACAAUUCUCCUGAGAAGUUGGACAAAAGUCACUCCAGGAAGAAAGGCUUAGAUCCAAGGGUCACAUAGCCUUGGAAGCACACAUUGGUCUCCACUGGAUGCCUAAGGCUAAAAUGAACAAGGUUCCCUACUCUGCUGCUGACUGCCUAACACCUCAUUUCUUAACCUUUGGUCCUUAUAGCCCAUGAGAAUGGGGUUCAUUCAAGAGCUCCAGGUGAUGGGUAAAUGAAAGCACAGGCCCUACAGAAGAGGGCGAAGACCCUGUCAUUGGGGUAUAGGCUCUUCAACAGUCUAGAGUUUAAAUAUCUAUUUCCUCACACACUCUCUUUCUCUGUACCCUUCUAAUGAAAAUUUCCCUGUGCUGUGGGUUCUCACGUUUGAAUCACAGGCUGCUGAGUAGUUGAAAGUGAUUAUCAACUAUGCAUCAGUGUCUAGCAUGUGGGAGCUGCAGAAGUACAUGCAAGAUCGAGGGGCUGGAAUGAGAAGCAAACAUUAACGAGACAGCAUAACCUAAGGACUAAAGACUGGACCUAAAGUGACCAGGCUAGGAGAGGAAAAAAAAAAAAAAAAGCAGCCUUGACUCUAAAGGGUGGCCCUGCUAGAGAGAGGGGCGGCUUAAGAAAGCAUAGCAAGGUGACUAUGCUGCUAGAGACACACACAUGGGGGCCCUAGGGGAAAUUGUGAAAGGGGGUGCUGGUAAAGCACUCCAGAGUCCUCUGAAGAUGUCCAUAGGAGGCUACCCACCCGUCCCUGUCAAAGCCAGGGCUACAGAUUCAGGCGCUGGCGUAGCCACACCCAUCCCAGAAGCUACCUAACCACCUCUAGUAGUUGGGAUUAGCAAGACAGAUGAUUUAGUUCCCACCUACAUCCCGAGACUCUUGAUUCAGCUUCAUCUCUCCUAAACCAUCAACCCAGGCCAGGGUCUAAGUCCCCCUCUACGUCUCCUAAGGAAAUUGAGGCUCUCGCCAAGGUCCCCAGGUAGCCCCCAGCCUCUUCUGAUCUCUCUGCACCUACACUGAGCACAGACAGAAGAGGAUAUGGGUGAGAGGAGAUCCAGUCAGGAAGGGGGAAGAUCCCAAGGCCAAAGCUGCCAAGUGGGCCCACAGUUCAGUUCAGAGAGUAGUCAGCCAGACCCAUAGCGGGAGCCUAGCAGGGCACCCUCUGCUGACCCCUUGUGGAAAAGCAAAUGAUAGCAAUGGUGUCCCUAGCCUUCCCCUUCCCUCAAAUUCUGCAUCACCUGAAGAUCUUAGGGUACCCUCCCAUCUAUGCUCCCCGCAACUUCUCUUCCUCCUUGUUUCUUUGACUGCUCUGGGCUUCUAUUUGUCGACGCUGUCAAAUCCAGACAGAAGUGGUCUGACUAGGUUUGAGAGCCUCGAUUUCCUAUUCUGGCUUUGCAACCACACUGAUUUAUGACCUGCUUCCCUCUGAAAGGGAUCCUCGACUAUAAAAUGGGUUAAUGCUGACAGCAACUCAUACUGACUAUGCCCCUAUGACCCGCCAGGCUCUUUGAUACGCGCUCAGUGUCUCAUUAAAUUUCUACCGGGAACCUAAAAGUAGAAAGUAUUAUUAAUCCUACUUUAUAAAAAAGGAAGCUGGGACAUAGAAAAAGAAGAAAGAACCUGUCCAGAGUCAUGCAGUCAGUAUGAUGGGAGCCAGGAUUCAGUCUUGAAGACUGAUUUCAGAGGCUGCCUCAUAAGCCUUUUGGGACAUUGAAUAUCAGGGGUGUGUGUGUA